rnacentral:misc_RNA from 1 species
UCCGGCUUAUCACCGGCAGUCCCACUAGAGUGCCCAACUAAAUGCUGGCAACUAAUGGCGAGGGUUGCGCUCGUUGCGGGACUUAACCCAACAUCUCACGACACGAGCUGACGACAGCCAUGCAGCACCUGUGUCCACGCCCCUUGCGGGGAGGAAUCCAUUUCUGGAAACCGUCGUGGCAUGUCAAGGACUGGUAGGGUUCUGCGCGUUGCAUCGAAUUAAACCACACGCUCCGCUGCUUGUGCGGGCCCUCGUCAAUUCCUUUGAGUUUUAGCCUUGCGGCCGUAGUCCCCAGGCGGCGGACUUAAUGCGUUAGCUGCGGCGCCGAGGGGGUCGAUACCCCCGACACCUAGUCCGCAUCGUUUACGGCGUGGACUAC